rnacentral:pre_miRNA from 1 species
UGCUAUUACAAUUGUGUCAGAAUGGUCGAUCAUUGAGCAGUGCAAGAGGGACAGAGCUAUGAAGGUUGUAUAGCUAUGAAGGUUGUAUAGCUUCAUCCCUCUUGCACUGCUCAGUGAUCGGCCAUUCUGACACAAUUGUAAUAGCA